AGAGCAUCACAGAGGGCAUUUGACAACCACAGUCUGAACUCUCUGGACAGCUAAGCAGCACGGCUGAAAUUCAGCCUGUCAUGGCCAGGGGGACCUGUGUUUAGCCUGUCACGGUCAGGGACCUGUACCCAGUGUGUGCAGUCUUCCACCAGGGGACCUGUCUGCUGUUUUUUGUUUUGUCUUUCCUUUUUUCCCUCAGUUUUUCUUUCUCCUCCUCUCCCCUACUUGACAGGGUCUCAUUGUAGCUCAGGCUGGCCUCGAACUCGCUAUGUAACCAAGGAAGACCUGAGACUAUGUCCUGCCUUAGCCUCUUACAUGCUGGGAUUACUGGCAUGCACCACCUUGCCCAGUUUAUGCAGUGCUGGGAUAAAACCCAGGGCUCUGUGUCCUUCAGUCACAAGAGCUGGAGAAAUUUAGGGUAGGGGAGGAGGUGAGAUCUGAGAAGAGCCAGGGUGCCUGCAUGGGCUCUGAAAUGUGUAGCAGGCACUUGUGACACUGAGAGGGGCUCUUUAAACCUGCACCAAACCCUCCAACAACUCCCUUCUGUGCUGAGGGUGUGAGCUC
rnacentral:lncRNA from 1 species